rnacentral:lncRNA from 1 species
CUUCUCCCCCCAGCUGAUGUUGGCCUGGCACAAGCAUUUCGGCCCUAGUGAGAGCCCAAGCUUUCUCACUGCACCACUCACCUUAACUUCCUCCUCCCCAGAACUUCAGCAGAGGAAGCUCCUGAGACCACUGCUUGGGCCCUUUACACUCCAGCGUUGGAGAUGGGAGAAGAGUAGCAACAACCUCUCUCCUUCCUGAAGCCUUCCUCUGGCUUUGCUCGGAAACUUGGAGACGGAAUUUGUCUAUUACACCACAGUGACAGGAUCAAACAUCUCUAUGAUGAAUCACAAUAUCCACACAACACUGAGGCUUUACUGCACCUGCAGCAUCAACGACAGCAUACUUAUUUGGAGUAGUACACAAAACUUUGAACUUUAAGGCAAACACAUAGGGAUUGUACAGAAUCAACACUUGCUUAUGUGUUGACUGAUCAUCUGUAUAAAAUAUGAGCUCCGUGGGAAACACAGAAACAGGAAGAUUUCCUUCCACUAACUCUGGUUGUCUUUUUGUUGAUGCAUCGGCACUGAAUCGCCCUUACUGCAGUUUCUGUUUUACAGUCUCAAAUCUACUUUGGACUUUUCUUAUAUUCAAUUAAAAACUCCAAAGCAUUUUGGCAAUCUCUGCAACACAGGUUCCUGGGAAAACAGCCGCGAAUAUUUCUCUGCUCCUUUGUCAGCGUCUCCGGGCUGCACUGCCUGCUGGGAUACCGGAGGACUCAAAUGCCACCUCUCCCCGCCCCAAGAAUGAGCCCUGUUUUCUUCUAGGUCUGGCAUUCUGUCAGUCUUCUCAGUGA